CCCUUAGAUGUUCUGGGCCGCACGCGCGCUACACUGAGCCCUUCAUCGAGUUUACAACCUUGGCCGGUAGGUCUGGUAAUCUUCUCAAAGGGGCUCGUGCUGGGGAUAGAUUAUUGUAAUUUUUAAUCUUCAACGAGGAAUUCCUAGUAAACGCAAGUCAACAGCUUGCAUUGAUUACGUCUCUGCCCUUUGUACACACCGCCCGUCGCUACUACCGAUUGAAUGGCUUAGUGAGCCCGAGGGACUGUUGCACCUAGAGGGUUUUCUCUCCAGGAGCAGCCGGGAACUCGGUCAAACUUGAUCAUUUAGAGGAAGUAAAAGUCGUAACA
rnacentral:rRNA from 1 species